UGAAUGCUAGCGGCGUGUCUAAGGCAUGCAAGUCGAACGAUCCACACGAGAGUUUACUUUCAUUGUGGAGAGUGGCAGACGGGAGAGCAAGACAGUGGUAACCUACCUCGAAGACAGGGACAACUGCCGGAAACGGCAGCUAAUACCUGAUAGUCUAUGCAGCUCAUAGGAGCAGCAUAGUANACACUCCGGUGCUUCGAGAGGGACCUUUGUUCCAUCAGCUUGUUGGUAAGGUAAUGGCUUACCAAGGCUACGACGGAUAGCGGGUGUGAGAGCAUGGCCCGCCUCAUUGGAACUGAAACACUGUCCAAACACCUACGGGUGGCUGCAGUUCGAGAAUCUUCCUCAAUGCCCGCAAGGGUGAAGGAGCGACGCCGCGUGCUAGAUGAAGUCUUUCGGGAUGUAAAUAGCUUUUAUAUGGGAAAAAAUUUGUGNAUGGUNCCAUAUGAGUAAGGGGCUGCUAACUUCGUGCCAGCAGCAGCGGUAAUACGAAGGCCCCAAGCAUUACCCGGAAUUAUUGGGCGUAAAGAGCUAAACGGUGGCUUGAUAAGUUGGUUGUUAAAUAUCGGAGCUCAACUCCGAAACUGCAACCAAAACUAUCUGGCUAGAGGACGGUAGAGGUCAGUGGAAUUGCUGGUGUAGCAGUAAAAUGCGUUAAUAUCAGCAGGAACACCAAAAGCGAAGGCAGCUGACUGGAACGAUCCUGACACUAUAAUAGCGAAAGCGUGGGUAGCGAAUGGGAUUAGAUACCCCAGUAGUCCACGCCGUAAACGAUGGAUGCUAGGCAUCAGAGGAUUCGACCCCUUUGGUGUUUGAAGCUAACGCAUUAAGCAUCCCCGCCUGGGGAGUACGGUCGCAAGACUAAAACUCAAAGGAAUUGACGGGGACCCGCACAAGUGGUGGAGCAUGUGGUUUAAUUCGACACUAAGCGUGGAACCUCACCCGGUCUUGACAUCUUCGGAAAGCACCAGAAAUGGAGCCGUGCCUUCGGGAACCGAAUGACAGGUGAUGCAUGGUUGUCGUCAGCUCGUGCCGUGAGGUGUACCCUUAAGUGGGGUAACGAGCGCAACCCUUAUCCUAUCNUACAUAUUCAUGGGAAACUGCCGCCGAUAAGGCGGAGGAAGGUGGGGAUGACGUCAAAUCAGCAUGUCCCUUAUGACCGGGGCGACACACGUGCUACAAUGGGUAUGACAAAGGGACGCCAAACCGUAAGGUGGAGCAAAUCCCACAAACAUACCCCCAGUUCGGAUUGAGGGCUGCAACUCGCCCUCAUGAAGUUGGAAUCACUAGUAACCGUAUAUCAGCCAUGGUACGGUGAAUACGUUCUCGGGUCUUGUACACACCGCCCGUCACACCAAGGGAGCCGGUAAUACCCGAAGUC
rnacentral:rRNA from 1 species